AUACUUACCUGGCGUAGGGUAUACCGUGAUCAUACAGGCGGUUCCCUCAGGGCGAGUCUGCUCCAUUGCACUGCGAAGUGGUUGACCCUUGCGAAAUCAUAAUAAAAAUGUAUACCCGAAUAACUAUUUUCUUUAUACCUCGAAUAGAACUUAAAAUUAAUAUAUUUAUAAUAAGGAACUUCGUUCCUAUC
rnacentral:snRNA from 9 species